CAGUGGUAUUUGGUGAUCUAGUUACCCCAGAAUAGGUGACUGUGCGCUGGGUACAGAGCACCACGAGGUGCUGGUGUGGUGCUCCAUCAGGUCAGGGGUAGUUGGUGGUUAGUUACACUUCUCAUAUCCAAC